rnacentral:rRNA from 1 species
UACGGGGGGCAAGCGUUGUCGGUAAUUACUGGGCGUAAAGGGCUUGUAGGUGGCCAACUAAGUCAGACGUGAAAUCCCACGGCUUAACCGAGGAACUGCGGUCUGAAUGACUGGAUGGCUUGAGUGGUGGGAGAGGGAUGCGGAAUUCCAGGUGUAGCGGUGGAAAUGCGUAGAUAUCUGGAGGAACACCGGUGGCGAAGGCGGCAAGUCCUGGACCUGACGUGACACUGAAAGCGAAGCCAAGGGA